UGGUAACAGAACCUUCUUCAAAAAGGUCUAAAGGGUAAGCUACAUAAGCAAUAUAUUGAUCUUUUUCUCCAACAACACGCUCGAUGCGGUAGCAUCGCCUUUUGUAACGAUCAAGGCUGGUAAGUCCAUCGAUCCAUACAGUUGUCCAUGUACCAGUAGAAGAUUCGGCAGCUACCGCGGCCCCUGCUUCUUCAGGUGGAACUCCAGGUUGAGGAGUUACUCGAAAUGCUGCCAAUAUAUCAGUAUCCUUGAUUUGGUACUCAGGAGUAUAAUAAGUCAAUUUGUACUCUUUAACACCAGCUUUGAAUCCAACACUUGCUUUAGUCUCU
rnacentral:lncRNA from 1 species